AUAACAUUGCUAGGACUCUGCAGUAUGCCGAGGUGCAAUUGGUUCCCUCGCACGUGUGCAAUCAGUCCCAUGUAUAUAAUGGGAGCAUUACACCUUCUAUGCUAUGUGCUGAUGGUCUAUACGGGCGGAUAGGUUCCUGCCAGGGGGACGCCGGGGGACCGUUAGUAACCAAAACAAAUGGCACUUGGUGGCUUGUUGGUGACACCAGCUGGGGGGUCGGAUGUGCCCAACCCAAUAAACCUGGUGUAUAUGGGAAUAUGGCCAUGUUUGUGGAAUGGAUAUAUUUACAGAUGAGGACUUACAGUUGAUCAGUGAUCUUUGUGAUUUGAUUCUGAUGAUUCAGAUUAAAAGCCUAUGAUAUUGAGAGAACACAGCAUUUCCGCUGAGGUCCCAGAACCAGAGGGCUUGCUUGGCAAUACAAAGAAAUAAAAGCAUAAAGGACAUAUUAUACUGUUUAACCGUCCAACCCAUGGGCCUCCAGCUGUUCUUCAACCUCCACUCACAUCUCUCAUUGCAGGACAGCUCCCUUUCUCUUGCCCCAGCCCUGGUAUAUACAGAGCUUUCUCUCAAUAAAGUACCAUGUGGUCUUGUCAGGGAGUUUUGAUCGGACCCCUCGGAUACAGAGACGUUGAUGUUGCUUUAAGACCAGUCUUUAUUAACCACACGUUACUUGAUGCCCAUUCUUUUGGAGCGGUGCCUAUUGAAGCAAAUCAAAGAUACCGCCAUGAUAAUGUUGGCCGUACAGCACCUACUGAGUGGCUUCAAUUUCUCCAACAAGUGGGCCCAUUUUUGCACAACCACAACUGAAUGUCCCCUCACUUCUUCCCAACGUAUAAAGUAGAAGCAGCCAAUGAGUUAAGGUGCAAACAUUCUGCUCCCCAGAGUAUUAGACUCUACUGAAUGUAUUAAACUGUCUUUAUUAUUUGGGGGGGGGGCAUGAAACAGGUUUUGCCUAAUGAAAGCAAAUGUAAGUCUAAACCAAUCGGCAUUAAUAAAGUCACAUUGUGUAGCAAAUGUAAAUGAAAUGGCACGCAGACAACUGGGAUUUUGUUUUAUGUUUUCAUUUUAUCUCACCAUAUUCAAACCUGAUUGAUUUGUAUUUUGACUCCUGAUCCAACUUUUAAAAUAAAACUUUGUGUA